GACGAACGCUGGCGGCGUGCUUAACACAUGCAAGUCGAACGGAAAGGCCCUGCUUGCAGGGUACUCGAGUGGCGAACGGGUGAGUAACACGUGGGUGAUCUGCCCUGCACUUCGGGAUAAGCCUGGGAAACUGGGUCUAAUACCGGAUAGGAGCCAUUUUUAGUGUGAUGGUUGGAAAGUUUUUUCGGUGUAGGAUGAGCUCGCGGCCUAUCAGCUUGUUGGUGGGGUAAUGGCCUACCAAGGCGGCGACGGGUAGCCGGCCUGAGAGGGUGGACGGCCACAUUGGGACUGAGAUACGGCCCAGACUCCGAAGGGAGGCAGCAGUGGGGAAUAUUGCACAAUGGGCGCAAGCCUGAUGCAGCGGCGCCGCGGGGGGGAUGACGGCCUUCGGGUUGUAAACUCCUUUCGCUAGGGACGAAGCUUUUUGUGACGGUACCUAGAUAAGAAGCACCGGCUAACUACGUG
rnacentral:rRNA from 1 species